ACUCUAUAUAAUAGUAUAAUCCAACAGAAUUAGUCCUCACUUUUAACAAUAGCAAUUGGAAUCAGAAUUUCUAUUGCUAGCAAUGUGGGUUGUCUUUGUUAAUUGGGGAUCACAGGUUGUUAAGCAAGGACUUCAUGGGACUCAAACUUGCAAUUUCCUGAUAAUUUCCAACUAGCAAAGUCAAUAAGGCAGAUUGUCACAAAUCCAGGAUGGCAGACGCAGGCUCUUGGUUUUCUUCUCGUUGUUGUAGCACUUUUAUUUGGAGAUAACGAAACCAAUUAAAUGCAGAACUUUGUAUGCUAAGACAGAAUUCCCCAACCUUUUCAGCUUUGCAGACCGGACGGUUGGAGAGGGGAUGUUUUCAUGUGAACAGCUGGUUUUAAAGGAAAAGUUGUCAGCAGCAAGAAACGGGAACUUUUUGACAAGGAAA